UCCAUUGAACAAGAUGCUUAUUUCAUCAAAAUGUUUAUCGUCAAUACAUUCCCAUCUUUUAUUAGAAAAAUUGGAGUCUAUGAAAAGGUGGAUCCCAUGCCCAACUCAGAAGAAGCAGCACGGGUCUAUGCAGAAUUAAAUACAGCAAGGAAAACCAGCAAAACUGCAAAAGGGAAAUCUAUGCAAGGUGACAAAACUGGUCUUACCAAAGGCAAAGCAAAGGAUGGAAAAGG